UGGGGAAUAUUGCACAAUGGGCGCAAGCCUGAUGCAGCCAUGCCGCGUGUAUGAAGAAGGCCUUCGGGUUGUAAAGUACUUUCAGCGGGGAGGAAGGCGAUGUGGUUAAUAACCGCGUCGAUUGACGUUACCCGCAGAAGAAGCAUCGGCUAACUCCGUGCCAGCAGCCGCGGUAAUACGGAGGGUGCAAGCGUUAAUCGGAAUUACUGGGCGUAAAGCGCACGCAGGCGGUCUGGCAAGUCGGAUGUGAAAUCCCCGGGCUCAACCUGGGAACUGCAUCCGAAACUGGCAGGCUUGAGUCUCGUAGAGGGGGGUAGAAUUCCAGGUGUAGCGGUGAAAUGCGUAGAGAUCUGGAGGAAUACCGGUGGCGAAGGCGGCCCCCUGGACGAAGACUGACGCUCAGGUGCGAAAGCGUGGGGAGCAAACA
rnacentral:rRNA from 1 species